UGGUUCUGGCAUCGAUGAAGAACGCAGCGAAAUGCGAUAAGUAAUGCGAAUUGCAGAAUCCGUGAGUCAUCGAAUCUUUGAACGCACAUUGCGCCCCUUGGUAUUCCGAGGGGCAUGCCUGUUCGAGCGUCAUUAUCACCCCUCAAGCUUAGGCUUGGUGUUGGACUUCAGGUCUGGGUUACAGAUCGGUCUCAAAGAUAGUGACGGCGUCCGGAAAGGAACCCGUACGAGGAGCUUCUUGUCAAGCAUGUACGCGGCGUGAUUUCGUGGACGUCGGUCUUUACUUGACUUUAUACCAGUGUUGACCUCGGAUCAGGUAGGAAUACCCGCUGA
rnacentral:misc_RNA from 1 species